GGUAAACAGAUGCUAAUACCGGAUAGAAGCUACUUUCGCAUGAAAGAAGUUUAAAAAGGCGGCGUAAGCUGUCGCUAAAGGAUGGACCUGCGAUGCAUUAGCUAGUUGGUAAGGUAACGGCUUACCAAGGCGAUGAUGCAUAGCCGAGUUGAGAGACUGAUCGGCCACAUUGGGACUGAGACACGGCCCAAACUCCUACGGGAGGCAGCAGUAGGGAAUUUUCCACAAUGGACGCAAGUCUGAUGGAGCAACGCCGCGUGAGUGAAGAAGGUUUUCGGAUCGUAAAGCUCUGUUGUUGGUGAAGAAGGAUAGAGGUAGUAACUGGCCUUUAUUUGACGGUAAUCAACCAGAAAGUCACGGGCUAACUACGUGCCAGCAGCCGCGGUAAAU
rnacentral:rRNA from 1 species